CAGCCGCCACGGGAAUACGUAGGUGGCAAGCGUUGUCCGGAAUUAUUGGGCGUAAAGGGCUCGCAGGCGGUUUCUUAAGUCUGAUGUGAAAGCCCCCGGCUCAACCGGGGAGGGUCAUUGGAAACUGGGAAACUUGAGUGCAGAAGAGGAGAGUGGAAUUCCACGUGUAGCGGUGAAAUGCGUAGAGAUGUGGAGGAACACCAGUGGCGAAGGCGACUCUCUGGUCUGUAACUGACGCUGAGGAGCGAAAGCGUGGGGAGCGAACAGGAUUAGAUACCCCUGUAGUCCUGUCUCUUAUACA
rnacentral:rRNA from 1 species